rnacentral:lncRNA from 1 species
UGAAUUACCACCCAACAAGAAAUUCCCCCUCCCACCGCCUACGUUGUUGUUGUUGUCGUUGUCCAUUUGAUUCUGAUAACCACUCUUGUUGUUGUUGUUGUUGUUGUUGCUGUUGUUGUUGUUGUACUCCUCCUCUAUCAAGGGACCAGAUUUGAUUUAAAUACUGCAAACCCUAAAAUAGAAGAUGAUGAUGAUGAUGAUAGGCGAUUGAGGCGGUAUAAUAAACCCUAGGUAGCUCCGAAACCUAGGAAUAUUUCCAUAUACAGAAAUCAGCAAAAAUGGAAACUUAGAUGAGAAGCAUACAAAGGGAGAUAUGAGAGAUAAACAUACAUGGAAGUUUCAGCAAAGAUUGCACCACAUAUGUAGUUAGUAAGUAGCCAGUAGCCUGAUGUGGGUAUUUAAUUAAUAAUAUGCAGUUGAUAAUCAAUGAGGGGAAGGAGGAGCUGUGUGUUUAAGAGAGAAAAAAGAGAAGAACAGAUGGGAGAAACAAAGGAGGAACCGGCAAAGGGCUGCGUUGCUUGGGUGGAUGACAAGACUUUCUCUUUUCCUUUGAUUGAUUGAUUUCAUUUUUUAUUUUCUCCUUUUUAUUAUUAUUAUUUUUCUUGAAUAAAAAUAAAAUAAAUAAAUAAAAAGCAACGACAAUCAACGACCACAAAGAGAUAAGACGAUGAGGGGGCCGCCUCCUCCCCUCC